rnacentral:rRNA from 1 species
UACGGAGGGUGCAAGCGUUAUCCGGAUUCACUGGGUUUAAAGGGUGCGUGAGUGGGUUGGUAAGUCAGUGGUGAAAUCUCCGAGCUUAACUUGGAAACUGCCAUUGAUACUAUCAUUCUUGAAUAUUGUGGAGGUCAGCGGAAUAUGUCAUGUAGCGGUGAAAUGCUUAGAUAUGACAUAGAACACCAAUUGCGAAGGCAGCUGGCUACACAUAUAUUGACACUGAGGCACGAAAGCGUGGGGAUCAAACAGG